rnacentral:rRNA from 1 species
UACGUAGGGUCCGAGCGUUGUCCGGAAUUAUUGGGCGUAAAGAGCUCGUAGGCGGUUUGUCGCGUCGAAUGUGAAAACUCGGGGCUUAACCCCGGGCCUGCAGUGGGUACGGGCAGACUAGAGUGCGGUAGGGGAGACUGGAAUUCCUGGUGUAGCGGUGAAAUGCGCAGAUAUCAGGAGGAACACCGGUGGCGAAGGCGGGUCUCUGGGCCGUAACUGACGCUGAGGAGCGAAAGCGUGGGGAGCGAACAGG